CAUAUGCCACAAGAAACCUCCACAUCAGAGCAGAAGCACCAUCUCUGAACUCUCUGGCCAGCUGCCAAGAAGUCUGUGCAUGAUGUUUCUGUUCUUUAUAAGGAUGAGACCUUGCUCAUCCUUGGACUUCAUGUGACAGAAAGACACUGAAAAGGAAUAGUCAUUUUUGGAAACUGAAAAAAUGGCAAUUUGUCAAAGUUUGCGGAAGAAAUAAACAACAGAGCUAUGAUUCAGGCUUAGAAAAUCUGGACCUCAGCUCCCUUGCUGACCUGCAGGGUGAUAUUCUGUUCAGCAAUCCUAAUGGAUGCCUGAAAAAUGUCUCCAGUGAAUGACUUCUGCAUCUUCAUCUAACCUCUGUUUCUGAAGUGCUUCUCUGAAGAGCCAACAAACUUUAACAUUUGACCUGACACAUAUACUGACAACAUGAAACAGAAAGCAGAAUCAUUGGUGCAAGUUUGCACUGAGAAGAGACAAUGAAAUUUAAAAGGUCUAUUGACCAUGAAGCAGCCAAAUGAGUGAGCUUGCAAUGCAAUGCAGAUGCAAAUAUAAAGCAGUGAGGCCCUACAUGCACAUUGCUUAAUAAGGUUUCCUCAGCAGCUGGAAAGAUCAGAUGCAAAUGUUUUAAAUCAAAACAGUUUUGCUUCAUCUGUGGCAGGAGGGGCUAUUCAGAUCAGCUAUCAAUGAGCUCCAGGAUGACAUCACCCGAAGCACAAGAAGGUACCUUUGUGCUGGGGCCCUUCCCCUGCUGGCUCCUGCUACACAUCCCACCCCCAGCCUGUGUCCCUCCCCUGCCCAGAAAUGCUCCCUCAUUCCCCCUGCUGAAUGCAAGGCACCUCUGGGAAGCUGGCAGAGCCCUCUGCAAGCGCCAGCAGUGUGUGCUAGAGCAAGGAGCUUCCACCCCAACGCGUUCAGCAGCCUCAGCAACCUGCAGUGGGGCCUCUGCUGCCCUCUUCAUCUGCUUCAAACGCAGUCAAACCUGCAUGCUGCUGACUGAUGAGACAGACAGGGCAACUGGGGCAACUCAAUUAUUUUCAAGGCUGGAACCCCUUUGGUAGGAUGUGCAAUGGCACACAAUUUAACCUUAACCUUGUUAUAGCACACAACUGCUGUUAAAUAAGCAGAGUGAAAAAUACUACAUUUGUAACCUCACUUAUGAAGAAACUGCAAACACAGUUUGCUGUUUUACAAUCAUUAACAGAUUUGUUUAUAGUUGGCUUGCAUGCUUGCCUGUUUAAUAAGGCCUGUGACAGUUUUCACGACAUGCAAGAACAAAAGAACAGACACCCAAUGCACAUCCUGGCCAAUGCUAUUUCAUGCAGAGAAAUGGGGCAGGGGCAGCUGCAAGUGGACACUACCACAGGAAACAAGUACCACUGAAUUAAACCAGAGAGAAACCUGCACAGAAAACAGGAGUCUAUAGAAAUGGGUGAGACUGAGGGCUGAAUGUUCCCAUUAAAAGCUCAAGUCACUCACAGUUACCCAUGACAGCAUCUAUCUUCUGUUCAUUAGAGCAAUUCUGGACACACCCCUCUUCCCUGUGCCUACUCCUGGAAAUAGAAGCACAUUUCCCUAAUAGCUCUCAGUCUCCAAUCAGCUGAUCUGUGAUGGUGUACAUGUGCAGAAACAUCCACUGGGAAAGUAUGUGUACAAUUUUGAGGACAUGCAAUGGAUUUAGAGCUGCAAUGGGUUAUUUCUAUUUAGAUGGCAUAGAGUAGCAUAAGCUGGAACUCCUUUACACAUCCAGGGAAGGAAACCUUCCCAGAGGAAAAGGGGCUCACUUACCGUCAACAU